AGGAAGCAGAGCCUGGAGUGGCGGGUUCGGAUGCUGGCAGUGCCCGAGAGAAGAAAAAUUCCAAAGGAAAUGCAGCAGCCAGGCAGGAGCUCUCCGACAUGGCCUACUUGAAAACAAAAGUGGUGGAAGGGGAUGAGUCACUGCUGUCAUCGGCAGAGGAAAGCGAGACUGAGGGGACAAGCAGUGACGAGGCUGCCGAAGCAGAGAAGCCGAGGCAGGCGAAGUCGGCUGGUUCUGGCCUUGCCGAAGGGGCUGCACUGGGUGCAAAGGUCAAGGCGGCAAGUGCCGGAGGGAUCCAGAGCCCGAAAGCCACAUCGCAGGUCAAAACACCAGCCGGAGCAAACAAGCCCAGCACGCCACACACGGUGAAGCUGCGGGGUGCCCCCU
rnacentral:lncRNA from 1 species